rnacentral:lncRNA from 1 species
UAUGACAAAGCUCCAAGCUGACAAACAUACAGAGCAUUUCUCAGAAUCGACAGGCAAGGGCAGAGGUGACAAGCGUGUGUCUUUCCCUCCAGAUGAGGAAAUUGUGUCAGGAUUCGCGGAGUACAAAGACACACAAAACGCUGAUGGCUGUCUUACUGUGGCAGACAUCAGCUCUGCCUAUGAACAGAGCUGUGUGAAGCAUCAAGUUGAACCCAACCUGAAAGCACUGGAGCAGAUAAAGCUAGUGGCAACCGUUGGCACGAGAGCUGGAUGUCUUGACCUAAGAGG